rnacentral:lncRNA from 1 species
UGAAUCGCACAAUUGAUUUGUUUCCCUCUUAAGGUUUUUUCCCAAAUACACAACACGGUUAUUUUUUCAAAUACAGAACGCGGGGUUUUUUCCUUCUCUAAGAUGGCUCUCAAUUUCUGAAACCCUUCACAUUGCAAUACCAAAUUCUAGGGCUCAAGGGUUUCUCCAAACUACAAUUAUUCUCGACCCAAGGCUUUCCUCUCGUACGGUCAAAAUCCUCGGCAAAGACGGAAGAAGGUAAUCCACAUACAUUCUUGCUUCUUCCUCUAAAUAGCUUUUUACCUUCUUUGUCC